CGCUUUCAGCCAUCCUCCGAUUCUCCGAAACCCUCCUUCAAUCCUCUCCCGCCUCCUUCCGCUGCCCUUCCGAACCCCGCCACCGUCUACCCAAACCCUCCCCUCCUUCAGUCUCCAGUCUCAACCCCCCUCGCCUCUAAGCUAUGGCUAUCUAGCAGGUCUGCCCACUCUCCGCCUGCGCCCCCCCCCCCCCCCCCUCCCUGAAGGCCGGAACGCUAGAGAAGUCUCCCCCGCCGCCGAGGGAGGCCGAGCCGGAGGCGCCGCCGCGGAUGGAAGGUUUUCGGCAGAAGGGGGAAGGUCUUCGUCAGUAAAAUCCCGCGUGGGAGAAGAAGGCAGAGUUUUUUUAAAAAGAAAAAGUAGAAGGCGGAGGUAGCCGUCUAGCCGAGUUCUUCCGCCAGUUCGGGGCGCUUGAGAAGGUUGAGCUCGGGUUGGUAACUUGGUAUGAUACGACUGCAAAACACUGGUGAUUUACCUUCUAAACAAUUCUGUUUAGCCUCUUGCAGUUGCUGUACAGCUUACCUGUCUGCUGUGUACUUCGAUGUCAUCUGCAAUUCCGAUCAAAAUACAAGUUCUGAAAGACUGAAAUCUUUCGCUAGUUGAGUGUCGAAUGCAAAACACUGGCCAUCUACCUUCUAGGAAUUCUACUUAGCCUCUUGCAGUUGCUGUACAUCUGACCUGUCUGCUGUCUACUUUGAUGUCAUCUGCAAUUCCAAUCAAAAUUCAAGUUCUUUUUUUGACGAACAUGGCAGGUGCUCUGCCUUUUCAUUAUAGAAGAAGAAACAUUACAAGACCGAAGUCAAGGAACAGAAAAGAAAAAAAAUCCAAUACUGUGGGGGGCAGUUUGGCUGUACAGAAAAACGAAAAAACACACUCCCUAUGGCGCCCAUGCACCAUCAAGCAUCUUAAUAUCAUCUCUAAUGAGAUCUGCCAAGACCACAGGAUCAAAAUUCAAGUUCUGAAAUCUUUCGCUAGUUGAGUGUUGAAUCGUAAGCCAUCUAGGGGAGAUUUGGUGAUGGUUGCGUCUUACCCCAAACAGGGUGAUGGUUGUGUCUUACCCCAAACAGGGUGGGCUAAGAGAGAUGUUUGGGAGGUAGCGGACUUAAUGUAGCUGAUGAAAGAAGAUGGAGUCCCUCCUAACAUUCUUAUACAUACCUCCUACAUAAAUGCAUGCUGCAAAAGAUGGAGACAUGCUGAUAACAGAAGAGGUGAUAAAAGAAACAACAGAUGUUGAAUUGAAAGUCAAGACAUAUACUGUUUGAUUAAUGAUUGGGCAAGGUCAUCAUUUCCAGACAAAGCAUUGAAAUAUUUUGAAAAGAUGAAACUUGCUGGGCUGAAGUCUGGUUUCAUUUCUCUCAAGGGCAACAGUGAUGGAGGAAGCACAUACACAGGAAUCUUGAAUGUUUGUGGAGAAAUAUUUGAGCAUGAUCUUACUGUUGAUAUGUGCACUACUGUUUACUGGUCAAGAUUGAGGGACAGGAAGGGCACUAUAAGCACUUCAGAGAAUAUUUCUCCUGAUUGGAAUUCAUUAAAAUUCUAGGAGAGGCUUCUGAUUUUGUAAGCACCGGUGGUUCUGAUUAUUGCAGUGAUUCUGAUACUAGCGACGAGAAUGAGAAUCAAGCUGCUGAUGGCUACUGACAAAAUACUAGAACCACUUUUUGAUGUUAUGACUCAUUGGUUUUCCUUGAGCUGUGUUGUUGUUGACCUGAAAAGUUCCUCUCAUCAAACCAUGUUCCCUGUCGGGGGAUGACCCCGGUUAGGAUCAUGACGACAUGCUCUAGCUGAGAUGACGAGGGCAAAGCCGACAUGGUCAAGUAUGCCGGCAUCAUAAAACCAAACUAACGCCAAGCCAGCAUACCGGGUGUAUGCCGGCGCGAUUGUCUUAUCUUAUGAGUUUGCAGGAUAAGGACGAACCCCUUGAUCUCGGCCAGCGCCGAGAUCUUUUAACGCUCUUAUCCUGACCACGCGGCACAAAGUAAAGUAGCGUUAUCAUUACCACAGGAAAAGCAGUCGCUGCUUACGUAGCGGUGCCAGGCGAUUGCACAAAAGAAGCACCGAAAGAGAAUCUCUGACGAGAGCCGAUAGAGGAUAGCGGUACUUGUUGCAGGGUGCCAGGAAAAGUAAAGUUGUUUUGUCCCCUGCGGUGCCACCCGGAGGGAACCAAGCCGCGUGCCCGGCGGGGCCCAAGAAAGGUGACGUUGGUACUCAGUCCGCAUGUCAGUGUGACAUGGGCGGCUUAUAAAUAGAGCACUAUCCCUCUUUGGAAAGGGAUCGAGCACUUAGGCAUCUAGGAUUUUCCCCUUCUUCUUCUUCUUCCUCAAGAAUACAGCUCAAGGAGCGUCAUUGUAAGAGCUUGCCUAUCUCGGCUAAUACAACAAAUCAAGGGCAGGAGUUUUAUCU